rnacentral:misc_RNA from 1 species
UCCGGCUUAUCACCGGCAGUCGCCUUAGAGUGCCCAACUAAAUGAUGGCAACUAAGGCCGAGGGUUGCGCUCGUUGCGGGACUUAACCCAACAUCUCACGACACGAGCUGACGACAGCCAUGCAGCACCUGUGUUCCUCCCACCGAAGUGAAGGAUCCCGUCUCUGAGAUCCAUAGAGGACAUGUCAAGGGCUGGUAAGGUUCUUCGCGUUGCUUCGAAUUGAACCACAUGCUCCACCGCUUGUGCGGGCCCCCGUCAAUUCCUUUGAGUUUCAGUCUUGCGACCGUACUCCCCAGGCGGAUGACUUAAUGCGUUAGCUGCGCCACUGGAAUCCCAUGGACCCCAACAGCUAGUCAUCAUCGUUUACGGCGUGGACUAC